GAAAUAUUUGUUUUCAUGUCCAAACUCCAAACACCCACUAAAGGGGUCAAGUUGAGCACGACCAAGACAAAUUGCUUGGAAUUCAAGUUCAGCGACAUAACUCAUGAGGUUGGCGUGAAAGUGCGGCUUAAUACCCAGGUCAUCCAGAAAAAAGGAAGUUUUAAGUAUCAUAGGUCAUAAUACUAAGUAAUCAGAACACUCACAAUAACGUCACACACUGUAUUGGUGCAUGGUCG
rnacentral:misc_RNA from 1 species